rnacentral:rRNA from 1 species
GUGCCAGCCGCCGCGGUAAUACAGAGGUCCCAAGCGUUGUUCGGAUUCACUGGGCGUAAAGGGUGCGUAGGUGGUGAGGUAAGUCGGAUGUGAAAGCUCGGAGCUCAACUCCGAAAUGGCAUUGGAAACUGCCUUGCUAGAGGUUCGGAGGGGGGACUGGAAUACUUGGUGUAGCAGUGAAAUGCGUAGAUAUCAAGUGGAACACCAGUGGCGAAGGCGAGUCCCUGGACGAAAUCUGACACUGAGGCACGAAAGCUAGGGGAGCAAACAGGAUUAGAAACCCCCGUAGUCC